rnacentral:rRNA from 1 species
AUUGAACGCUGGCGGCAUGCUUUACACAUGCAAGUCGGACGAGUGGCGAACGGGUGAGUAACGCAUCGGAACGUACCGAGUAAUGGGGGAUACCUGUCCGAACGGCCAGCUAAUACCGCAUAUUAUUCGAGCGGCCGAUGUCUGUUUAGCUGGUUGGCGGGGUAAAGGCACACCAAGGCGACGAUCAGUAGCGGGUCGGAGAGGAUGAUCCGCCACACGGGGACUGAGACACGGCCCAGACUCCUACGGGAGGCAUCAGUGGGGAAUAUUGGACAAUGGGCGCAAGUCUGAUCCAGCCAGGCCGCGUGUCUGAAGAAGGCCUUCGGGUUGUAAAGGACUUUUGGUAGGGAAGCGGUACCUGAAGAAUAAGCACCGGCUAACUACGUGCCAGCAGCCGCGGUAAUAC